CGCAGUCAGAAUCAGAGUCAGAAGGAGAAGGGGAAGAGGAGGGAGAAGAAGAAGAGUCUGUUUUUCGUUUUUUUGUGUUUUGGGGCCUGUUCUUUUUCUUCUCUUUUUCUUUUGUUUUCUUUUUUCUUUG
rnacentral:ribozyme from 1 species